CCAGCCCCACCCCGAGAUGUCUCACCCUCACUCACUGCUCCCUCUGCACAUUCCUUUGGGCAGCUACAAGAGGCAGGUUGCUGAGAGGGCAGGGGCUUUCCGCCCAUGGUUCCCUGCUGUUUCUUUGUGGCCAUGCUGGCCCCUCUGGUAUUAGCCCUGGAACAGUCUCCAGAUAUGGUGAUAAAAGAAGGCCAGUCUGUGAAUCUGGAAUGUUCCAAGAAGAAAUCCUCCAACAGAGCUAUGUACUGGUACAUGCUGCCUUCAGAGAAGAAUUCCAGUCUGACCCAGGUGGUUUAUGCAUACGAAGGUGUUAAUGCAGUGGUGGAGAAGGGUUUUGAGAGCCAUUUCAAGAGCAGCAAUAUAAAAGGAGACAGUAUCACCCUCUCAAUAGAGCAUGCCUUUCUCAAUGACUCUGGCACAUACUACUGUGCUGAGAGUGAGGGACAGGGGGAUGAGCAAUUGUUCUUUGGCAGUGGGACAAAACUUACGGUCAUAGGGAAGAAUGAUGAAAUCAUACCUCCAGCGGUGGCCAUCUUUUCCCCGUCAAAGCAGGAGAUCCAGGAGAAGAGCAAGGCCACGCUGGUGUGCCUGGCCUCUGGUUUCUACCCUGACCACCUGACUCUGGUCUGGAGGGUGAAUGGUGUGAAAAGGACCGAAGGGGUGGGGACAGACGAGUCCUCCACACAGAAUGGGAGCACCUACUCCCGGACCAGCCGACUGAGGAUGCCAGCCUGGGAAUGGUUCAACCCUCUGAAUCGCUUUGAGUGUGUUGCCAUUUUUUUUCAGAAUGGAACAACAGCAUCAAUAAACAAAUUUAUCCGUGGUGAUGCUGGUUGUGCACUCACAGAAGAGUCGUACUUGCGGUAUGGAAAUUCCCUGAAGCUCACUUACCUCAUCCUCUGUGGCAAAGCCUUGGUCUAUGCAGUUUUGGUGAGUGGGCUGGUGUGGACGGCCAAGACUGGUGUCAAGCUAUCAAGAGAAUAAAUUACAAGCCCUUGUCAUCACA